rnacentral:rRNA from 1 species
AAUCAACGCUGGCGGCGUGCCUCAGACAUGCAAGUCGAACGCGAAAAGUCCCCUUCGGGGGACGAAGUAGAGUGGCGCACGGGUGAGUAACACGUAGGUAAUCCACCUUCGGAUGGGGAAGUAACAACCGGAAACGGUUGCUAAUACCGCAUAAUGCAGCGGCACCUAAUGGUGACAGUUGUUAAAGCGGGGGAGUCGAAAGACCUCGCGUCUGAAGAGGAGCCUGCGGCGGAUUAGCAGUUGGUAAGGUAACGG